GACGAACGCUGGCGGCGUGCUUAACACAUGCAAGUCGAACGGAAAGGCCCUGCUUUUGUGGGGUGCUCGGGUGGCGAACGGGUGCGUAACACGUGAGUAACCUGCCCUUGACUUUGGGAUAACUUCAGGAAACUGGGGCUAAUACCGGAUCGCAUCUCCUGCUGGAUGGUGGGGGUUGGAAAGUUUCGGCGGUUGGGGAUGGACGCGCGGCUUACCAGCUUGUUGGUGGGGUAGUGGCUUACCCAGGCUUUGACGGGUAGCCGGCCUGGGAGGGUGACCGGCCUCAUUGCGACUGAGAUACGGCCCAGACGCCUACGGGAGGCAGCAGUGGGGAAUAUGGCACAAUGGGCGGAAGCCUGUUGCAGCAACGCCGCGUGCGGGAUGACGGCCUGCGGGUUGUAAAACGCUUUCGCCUGUGACGAAGCGUGAGUGACGGUAAUGGGUAAAGAAGCACCGGCUAACUACGUG
rnacentral:rRNA from 1 species